AAAAACAUAGCUUCCCGAAAAAAUAGGAAGUAAAGCCUGCCCAGUGGAAACCUCUAAACGGCCGCGGUAUCCUGACCGUGCAAAGGUAGCAUAAUCAUUUGUCUUUUAAAUGAAGACCUGUAUGAAUGGCACCACAUUUUCUAACUGUCUCCUUUCUUAACCUUCUAAACUCCUAUUAACGUGAAGAAGCGUUAAUAAAAAAGAAAGACGAGAAGACCCUGUCGAGCUUCAAUUUUAAUGUUAAUACUCCCUCUUUUCCAUCUAGAAAAAUAAACAUUUCUAUUAAAAUUUUGGUUGGGGCAACCAUAGAGUAUAACUAUCCUCUAGUUAAAAAAAAGAUCUUUAAUCAAUAUAUUCUUCUUAAAAUAAAGAACCAAAAUCAUUGGUAAACAGAAAAAGUUACCGCAGGGAUAACAGCGUCAUCUUCUUUGAGAGUUCUUAUUGACAAGAAGGAUUGCGACCUCGAUGUUGGAUUAAGGAAACAAAAGGGUGCAGCAGCUCUUUAAGUUGGACUGUUCGUCCAUUAAUCCCUUACGUGAUCUG
rnacentral:rRNA from 1 species